rnacentral:rRNA from 1 species
GAAAGGAUUUAUUCGGUAAAAGAUGGGCCCGCAUCUGAUUAGCUAGUUGGUGAGAUAAUAGCCCACCAAGGCAACGAUCAGUAGCCGACCUGAGAGGGUGACCGGCCACAUUGGGACUGAGACACGGCCCAAACUCCUACGGGAGGCAGCAGUGGGGAAUAUUGCACAAUGGGGGAAACCCUGAUGCAGCAACGCCGCGUGAAGGAAGACGGUUUUCGGAUUGUAAACUUCUAUCAAUAGGGAAGAAAGGAAUGACGGUACCUAAAUAAGAAGCCCCGGCUAACUACGUGCCAGCAGCCGCGGUAAUACGUAGGGGGCAAGCGUUAUCCGGAAUUACUGGGUGUAAAGGGAGAGUAGGCGGCAAGGUAAGCGAUAUGUGAAAGCCUUAGGCUUAACCUGAGGAUAGCAUAACGAACUAUCUAGCUAGAGUACAGGAGAGGAAAGCGGAAUUCUUAGUGUAGCGGUGAAAUGCGUAGAUAUUAGGAAGAACACCAGUGGCGAAGGCGGCUUUCUGGACUGAAACUGACGCUGAGGCUCGAAAGCGUGGGGAGCGAACAGGAUUAGAUACCCUGGUAGUCCACGCUGUAAACGAUGAGUGCUAGGUGUCGGGGAGGAAUCCUCG